rnacentral:tRNA from 1 species
UGUUCUGUGGCUUAGUUGUUCAAAGCGCCAGACUUGCGAUGCGGAGUAGCGGGUUCGAAUCCCACCAAAAUAA